GCCUCUAUAGCUCAGUUGGUAGAGCGCGGCACUAGUAUUACUUGCGUGCGAUGCCGAGGUCUACGGUUCGAAUCCGUAUGGAGGCA